UCGCAAUUUCACUAUUAUCUUAUUGAAAUGUGUGCAAAAGUUUGAAAAUUUAGUACGCAAUCACAAAAGUAAAGAACACCUAACGAAUGUGAAUUGAAAUAAUCCUAUAUACAUCCAUUCGUAUGGCUGAAGUUCGUGAAACACAUCCGACGACUUUCUCGAAAAUAUGUAUUAAAUAGAUGUUGCCCGGCGCUUCAUUCCUGUGGGAAUUUUGAAAUAAAAUAUAGCCUUAGCAAUCUUGGAUAAUGUACCCCUCUAAUGGUGAAAUAAUUUUCGAAAUCAGUUAGUAUUGGCACGCAGAGAUCACGUGGUGUUUUUGGUCCAAGACCCACUGCCGUUUCGCUGCCCAUCGAGAACAGGAAACGAAACGGUAUGCGAAGGCAAGGCAUCCCAACAAAAAAGCUGUAGGAAAACAUCUUGAGAAAAGGAAGAUCUUGAUCGUGAACAUCUUGAUCUGGAAGCCAUAUUGAGUGAGACACACCUAAAUUACGAACAAACAAAUAUUUCAACCGUAUACGUAUACAAUCAGGUAAUUCGUAAGCUUUGCCAGCAGGACAAGUGACUUCCCGGCUAAGGGUUUAUUGUAAUGUAGAUUAAAUCAAAAUCUCACUGAAAAGGCUCAAGUCAACUAUAUAGAGCACACGAAACCAGUCUUUAUUGUAAGAACCGGUAGGUCGUUUAAAUCGAGCUGAAAUUUAAGUGCAAUGACUGGAUUAUAACUCGUAAGUACAAAUGUUUGAAAUUUUAUGAC